rnacentral:lncRNA from 10 species
AGAAUGGCGUGAACCCAGGAGGCGGAGCUUGCAGUGAGCCGAGAUCACACCACUGUACUCCAGCCUGGGCGACAGAGCAAGACUCAGUCUCAAAAAAAAAAAAAAAAAAACAAAACAAAACACCAAAGAAAAAACACUCCAGCAGUAUCCUAGCAGACUGGCAAGGUCUGUUCACGCUGUUCCCUCCCUCCACUGGCAACACUCUUCCCCUCAUCUGUCAGCCCCGUGUUUUCUCCAGGAGACAUCCUUGACCUUUUCUGCUGAAAGCCAACUUUUUGUUGUCAGAGCCUCUGUAGUUCUACUGUAACGUUUCUUUGGAGACAGGUCUCAUUUCCCUGCUUUUCUGGGCAUCUUCCACGGGCUUCAUGCAGUCUGCACCUCGAGAAGCAGGAAGUGAUGAAACACUUGAGUGCUGCUUCCCGUGGCUCACCAUCAGCCAGGAAAUGGCACUGCAUGCUACAGAGGGGAGAUCCUCCCAGGGCUGACUCCAAGCAGGAAGUGACUCUCACCACCCUAGGGGAUUUGAAACACCUCUCCCAUGCCCAGGAACCUAGAGCAGGCCAGCUGGUGCAGCCACUGCCCAGACGUGGGAUGUUCUGGUUUCAGAGGUGGGGCAGGGAGAUGUAGCCUCCCAACCACCCUCAGGGAAUCCGCUGAAGAGGCACAACCGAAGGGAGGUGCAGUUGCCAGAGAAACCAGCUGAUAACACCAAACACUUAAGGCCUCAUAUUGAACUAGCAUGUGAGCAAAUGCGAAGGACUCAGGUCCCUCACCUCUCCCUGGGACUGGAAACCGACCACCUUCCCAAGGCUGGCAUCCACUCCGUCCUCUCCCUACCUAAGAGGAGAAACCACAGGCCUGACUGAGGAGACCCUCAAGGCACGGUUUAU